rnacentral:rRNA from 1 species
UCGUGUCGUGAGAUGUUGGUUAAGUCCCGCAACGAGCGCAACCCCUAUUGUUAGUUGCCAUCAUUCAGUUGGGCACUCUAGCGAGACUGCCGGUAAUAAACCGGAGGAAGGUGGGGAUGACGUCAAAUCAUCAUGCCCCUUAUGACCUGGGCUACACACGUGCUACAAUGGUUGGUACAACGAGUUGCGAGUCGGUGACGGCGAGCUAAUCUCUUAAAGGCCAAUCUCAGUUCGGAUUGUAGGCUGCAACUCGCCUACAUGAAGUCGGAAUCGCUAGUAAUCGCGGAUCAGCACGCCGCGGUGAAUACGUUCCCGGGCCUU